rfam:Dipodomys ordii contig_26624, whole genome shotgun sequence.
UGGAAUGUAGCUUAGCAGUAGAGUGCUUGCCUGGCAUGCAUGAAGCCCUGGGUUUGAUUUCUCAGCACCAG